rnacentral:rRNA from 1 species
UACAGAGGUCUCGAACGUUGUUCGGAUUCAUUGGGCGUAAAGGGUGCGUAGGCGGCGCGGUAAGUCGGGUGUGAAAUCUCGGAGCUUAACUCCGAAACUGCAUUCGAUACUGCCGUGCUUGAGGACUGGAGAGGAGACUGGAAUUUACGGUGUAGCGGUGAAAUGCGUAGAUAUCGGAAGGAAGACCAGUGGCGAAGGCGGGUCUCUGGACAGUUACUGACGCUGAGGCACGAAGGUCAGGGGAGCAAACGGG